UUUUAAAGCUGAUGCAACGAUUUUAAGGUUCCAUUAACUACGGGGAUUAUUUAUGACACGACGUGAAAUCCCACGUCGUGUCAUUCCCUCGGCGUGAGAAUGAAAUCACCAACAAUUUCACGACAAGAAUUUCAUCCUCUAAACAUAAUCGAAAUCAAAUCUGUAAAACAUUUUCGUUUCAAGAAAGAAAUCUAAUCAAAAAUUGUAGAAAAUGAGGCAGAAUAACCGAAGAACCAGGAAAAGUGUGUGUGUGUGUGUGUGUGUGUGUGUGUGUGUGUGUGUGUGUGUGUGUGUGUGUGUGUGUGUAGGCGUGUCUGUUCCAAUGAAAAUAAAAGAGCACAAAUUGGACCUUGUCACGUGACCAGUAAGCUUCCGCGUUUCCUAAAACCCUGAAUCUAACUUGGACUUUUAUAUCAGCAGCACGACUGAUAAGAGCCGAUGUCUACACGAUCUCUCAUCAGUGACAAGACUCCAGCUGAGCAGAAUCAAAUUCAGCUCCAUCGUGUAAAAGGACACCAUUUUUAUUUGGCGCGCUGUACAUUCGGGGGAAGCAACAGAGAAACAGAGGAAGUUUGUCCAAAUACUGACAGAAUGUUGGUUUUUUCAUGAACUCUCUCUAUACUUGAAGUGAACAAUGUUUUGCUCAAAUGCUUACCAUAAAACGAUAUAUUGAGAGAGAGAGAGAGAGAGAGAGAGAGAGAGAGAGAGAGAGAGAGAGAGAGAGAGAAAUGGGGGACAGGUCUA